ACCUUCGUGGUGUAAUUGAAAGCACGUCCGGCUGACAAUCGGCAGGACCAGAAUUAAAUCCUGGUGAGGGCA
rnacentral:tRNA from 1 species